CCUACGGGAGACAGCAGUGGGGAAUAUUGCACAAUGGGCGAAACCCUGAUGCAGCGACGCCGCGUGAGGGAAGACGGUCUUCGGAUUGUAAACCUCUGUCUUUGGGGACGAAUUGAGACGGUACCCAAGGAGGAAGCUCCGGCAAACUACGUGCCAGCAGCGGCGGUAAUACGUAGGCAGCAAGCGUUGUCCGGAAUUAGUGGGUGUAAUGGGAGCGUAGGCGGGAUAGUAAGUUGAUUGUUAAAACUUUCGGCUCAACUGGUAGUUGCGAUCAAAACUGCAAGACUUGAGUGAAGUAGAGGCAGGCGGAAUGCGUGGUGUAGCGGUGAAAUGCGUAGAUAUUAGGAGGAACACCAGUGGCGAAGGCGGCCUUCUGGGCUUUAACUGACGCUGAGGCACGAAAGUGUGGGUAUCAAACAGGAUUAGAUACCCGUGUAGUC
rnacentral:rRNA from 1 species